UGCCAGGCAAUGAUGAUGAGGACAGCAUGUCAUUUUCCUGAAUAUGACUGAUGGUUUUAAGUCACUACCUCAUCUGAGCCUUCG
ensembl:snoRNA small nucleolar RNA SNORD11B